UACAACUUUCAACAAUGGAUCUCUUGGCUCUCGCAUCGAUGAAGAACGCAUCGAAAUGCGAUAAGUAAUGUGAAUUGCAGAAUUCAGUGAAUCAUCGAAUCUUUGAACGCACCUUGUGCUCCUUGGUACUCCUAGGAGCAUGCCUGUUUGAGUGUCAUU
rnacentral:rRNA from 1 species